AUAUGCCCAUUAAGUGACAUGGAAUAAUAUAACCAAAAAAAGGUAAAUAAGUUUUGUUUUAUAGGAAUUUUGAAUUAUUUUAUUGCUCAGUUAUAAUGUAUUCUAAAAUAUCCAUCAUGUUUUUUUUAUAAUUAUAUUGUACAAGGAACACAUCCUACAUGUAUGCCUCAAUAAAACUGAACACCAUCUGUAUCUUGACUAGAAAUGAAAUAACAAGCAUUCAAUAAUUUAAAAUCACUAUUUGAAUUAAUUUUAAUUCAGUACUACAAUGUUUGCUUUAAAAUAAAAACGAUGCAAAAGAUUACCAAAACAUCAAAACCUAUCAAAUAUUUCUAUGACAAGAAUAGGACUGUCCAUAUGUAUCUAAGACAUGUGACUUGCUGAACAGCUACAACACCUUGAUACAUACAAGUUAUAUCUUAUCAUGGAACUUUCUGAUCCUACAAAGAACACUAACAUGGGUCUAAUUCUAAUGCUGAAAAAA
rnacentral:lncRNA from 1 species